ensembl:lncRNA
CUUCAAAAUACUCGUUACCAAAGUAAUCUGUGGAGCUGUGCAACAUAAACAUCACCAGCUCUGACAUUCUGCCCAACAUUUCAUUUGUGUUUCACAGCAGAAGGAAACAUUGCACAUGAGGAUACUAGGACUGACCGGAGAUAAGAGAGACGUCCAAACCAACACUGAUUAUUCUGGUUGAAUCAGUUCUUCUGUCGCACGAGCUGAAGAUGUUGAGAUGUUGGAGAGUCACUGCAGCCUCAGAGGAACCUGAUGAACCUCCUACAGCGAAUAUCAGAUGACUGAGAGCACCGAGAGAAAGCAUUAUGACUAGAGUAUUACCAGACUGAAGCUAUUUAAAGGGGCA